AAGAGAACAUUCAUUUGCGGCAUAUGAAUUUGUAAUGUCAGAGUUUAUUUCGGAAUAGUAUCUCAUUAUUCGAACGGUCGCCAUUAUUAAAGACAAAAGGAGGUUAAGACCCGGCGAAUUAUGUAUAACAAUAUUUGUAGUGGCAGCAACAGUGGUGCAGACGGUGGAUGGCGUCGGCAGGAUAGCGGACUCUCUCGGACGUAAUGGAUAUUCCGACGAAGGACUGUUAAAGUUUUCAAAUAUUCAUAUGCACGAUAUAAUCAUAAUAAUAUAUAUCAGGUGCGGGUGU